AAGCAGGGCUGUAGUGGUCAAAUUAGAGGUGGGUAAACUAUGAAUUUUUUGAUCAGACCGACCUCGACACAACGCAACGCAAAGUGUUUCGACUCUGUAAGGCUAGCCUGGUUAUAUUCCAUUAUGUUAUCAAUUAAAGUCAUAUUAAAUCAAUCAGUGACAGUCAAUGAAUGUGUUUGUAGUUUAUUCAAGUUAUUCAAAUUUCAACAGUAAAGAAAAGUAUGUGUAGAUUAAGAACUAUCUAUCUAUGGCAUGUGUGUAUGUGUGUGUAUUAGUAUGCAUGCUUUUCACAGUAGUACCCAGAGGCAUAGGCGUCGAUUACGCCGGGGACGCGUCCCCACCAGUUUUCGUAAAGACUAAUUUUGUCCCCACCAGAAAAAAAAAACAAAUAAAUAAUAAAUAAAAUAUGUAUAGUUUUUUAAAAAUGAAUGUUUAUAGCGCGAGACAGAUGCGAACCAAUCCACAAAAAAACGAUCUGCAUACGGCACACAAGCCAGCCGUCAACAAUUUGCAACAAUUAUAACAUUUGGAUGAGUAGUUCUAGAAUGGGGGAGGGGUGGGUGGUACGGUGGGCGGCUCCUUCUCUGUGUAAUCUGAACCUGACUGCUUGCUGCGCACUUCCAUGGACAAUCUGCUGCGGUUGCAGCCUCAUGCAUUUGAGGAAAGGAGGUCCGGAGGAGGAACUUGUUUCUGCCAACUCACCUCUUCAUUGCCAUCUACCAGUUCCUGCCUUUCAUUAAGCUCUGAUGUUCCUUAUAAAUAAAUAAAAAUGUGUUAACUCAAUUGAUUAUGCCCUCUAUUUUAUGAGAUUUAUGUGGUGUGCAAACAAAAGUCUUGUAACCUUUAUUGUAAUGAUUUGACCACUAUGACGGUAUGUUGGUUGUGGUAUAUGUUAUCAAUAUUGUAAUUGGUUUUUGACAAAAUAUUGGUUUGGAGUGUGCGGUUGCCUGGUACCAUGGUUGUUACUUGGUACAAAUAAUAUGGAUGAUUUACGACCAUCUAGUGGGGAGUCUGAAAACUGCUAACGAAACGUCAUUGAAGUGAAAAUAAAAUAAAUCAUUCGUACUGUUGUAAAUUCAAAAUGAAUUUAAAUAGGAAAGCUAAACGUUGAAGCACAUAGGGCAAAACACUCCAGUAGCACUAGGCAUGCUAGCCAACAGUGUGUCGCGCUGGUAGAGGCUAGCUAGCUAAAAAAAACCUCAAGAAUUACAAUAUAUUUCUAGAAUAAAUAUUAAUUUAGCUGAGCUCAUAAGACACUAGCACACUUACUGUGCAUGUCAGCUUAAAUUGCUUGGCUUUAAAAAAAAAGCUCUGAUGUCCUGUCCACUCCUUUUUGACAUUUUGCUGUAUAAUUAACUAGGUAGGAUCAGAGAAUGUCGGGCUCUGGUUGUAUCGCUAUCUCGUCUUUUUUCAGUUGUGACUAGAUGUGCCCUCUGCGGCACCGUAGUUGUGGAUUAUUUUCGUAUGAGGUGCCAGCCUGACUUGGACAAUGAAUGAGAUAUUAAUACCAAUACUCUAUGGCUGGUAUGCAAUGAUGAGGCAUCAGACAGUCAAUUAAUUUUAGCCUGAAUACAUAGGUAAAAAGCACCAGACCGCUAGUACCAUGGAUGGACAGUGUCAGAGCGAAAACCUGUUGAACUAAAUGGAUGUGGUUAGGCAGCAGGCACGCAGGCUACACCGCGGGAUACAUCUGCAGACCACUGGCACGUUAAUAAAGGUAAGAUGCGAUAUUUAUUGCUUAAGAUUUGCUGGUACUUUGGCGAGAUCUUUUGUGUUUUUUGCCCUCAUGUGGUCAGCUGUUUUAACUUGAAAUAGUACUACUAGCCAUAGCCUCCAAGUAGCCUAACUUAAAUUAUC
rnacentral:lncRNA from 1 species